CGCACAAAUGUUGUGCACCGGGUCUCUAGCAUAAGAAUAAACUUUCAGGUCUCUAGUAUAAGAAUAAACUGUUUCAUGCACUCACAACUGUCAACCUACUUUUGCCAUUCCCUGUAUAGUCCCUGAAUGGUAUCAUCUCUGUAUAUUGGGUCUGAGUGUGGGUUCAAGGUUUCCUUGGAUUUUUCUCAAGGGGUCUUCUUUAUCUUCAUUCAGUACUUCUAUUCCUGUUUUCCUUCUAGUUAAGCAGACUUAUUUUUUUUUUUAAAUCAAGUUUGUUGGGUGACAUUGGUUAAUAAAAUUAUAUAGGUUUCAAGUGUACAAUUCUAUGAUACAUAUUGCCAUUCUCUCUUUUUUUAAUCCUCACCAGAGGAUAAUUUUUUAAUUGGUGUUUUUAAAGAGAGAUACAUUGACUGGUUGCACCUCAACCAGGAAGUGAACAUGCAACCGAGGUAUGUACCCUGACUGGGUAUGGGAUGCAACUCCAACCAAUUGAACCACCUGGCCAGGACCAGAUUGCCAUUCUUAUAUUCAAUCCCCAAUUUCAUCACUUGCUCACGUCAGUUCUUUGAAAUACUUUUGUCCACAAACCAUGACAUGUACUU